CAUUGUAAAGUGAAACAGUGGUUGAGAUCUGCAAACAGUUUUGAGUAGGAACCAGAAAAAGAAGUAUGAACAUGCAAUGUGCAUGUGCACACUGAAUUCGUCAAAAACAGAAGAAAAGAAUAAAAACGGAA